ensembl:lncRNA
GAUCGUCAGGCACUAAUGGACCUAAAUCAUACACAUGAGGUACGUCUGAGCUGCCCUGAGGAUCAAACCUCCAGACUUCCUCCACACUUGGCCUCGGUGCCUGCCUACCUGCUGCGUGCACCUGUCCCGCGUAGGAAGCGUGCCAAGAGGCGGGGCAGACGCGCUGGACUCCUGGUGAAGGUGAAGGCGUACAGGAGGUCUUGUCCUGGGACUGCUCCGGGACACCCGCUGUCAAAUGGAUUACGGUGGAUUCAGCCUGUGGCUCCCGUGCGUCCGAUCACCGGCCUGCGUCAUCUGCCGAUCGUAGCGCCGCUUCACCGGCGCCUUCCCAGACACCGUGCCGUGGAUUAUGGUUGCCUUCGCCCGCUGCAGCGCGACUCUCCACGGGCCAACACGGAAGUGUCGCUGCGCCUUGGAUUACAAAACGCCAGAUCGCUGGCAAAUAAAGCGCACAUCCUGAAAGAUGUUUUCAUGUCCCGCGGGUUGGACCUGAUGUUCAUCACAGAGACAUGGCAACGGGAGAACGAGUACGUUCACUUAAAUGAGCUGCGCCCUGCAGACUGUUCUGUGUUUGGAACCCCACGGAUCACGCGUCGCGGAGGAGGAUUGGCGCUCGUUUUCCGGGACACAUUCAGCUGCAGACUGUUGGACACGAACGCGUUCAAUUCCUUCGAGCUCCAGAUGUGCAAGGUUGGAAACGAACACGCUUUUCACUGUGUUUUACUGUACCGACCGCCUGGUCCUGCUCGUAUAUUUUUAGAUGAGUUCUCUGAGUUCAUGUCAUCUAUUAUAACACUUGAGAGUGUUUUAAUCCUUGGAGAUUUUAACCUCCAUGUUGAUAACUCCACAUGUCCUAUGGCCACUGAGUUGAUGACUCUUAUGGACUCUUUUAACUUUGUACAACAUGUGUCAGGUCCAACACACACCAAAGGUCAUACUUUAGAUUUAGUUUUUUCUUUUGGUUUAAAAAUAGACAAAUUAAGCAUAAAUGAUUUACAGUUAAGUGACCACUGCUGUAUUUUGUUUAACCUGUCAAUCACUCUGAC